CUAAUACACACAUGAACCUUCAUCUUCCCUCCGUAAUAUGAGGCCUGAUCAGAUUCUUCUGUGAUGACUAAGGACCUCGCUGCACCCUGGACAGCUUUCUGGAAAGGAAGCCCUUCUCACGGUUUAACACGUACACACGGUGUGGGAGGCUAUGCACACCCCGGACAGGCAUCAACCCCAGGAGUAAGCAGGGCCCCAGAUGCAAGACGCGCUGUUCUCUACCCUGGGAUGGGCCCUGCCACCCCACCACACACACCUGGACCUUGUGAG
rnacentral:lncRNA from 1 species